ensembl:lncRNA
AGGAUCGGACCGGGAGGCGCGCUCCGCGCCGCGCCUUGUGCAGCCCCCUGCCGCUCCGCCCGCUCACCUGCAUUUCCUUAACGAGCCACUUGAUGGCUGGCAGCCGCGGCAGACCACGGCCCCGCCGCAACUUUGGCGGCCGCGGAGCCCCGCCGCUCGCGCGGAGAUGGGGCUGGUGAGGUGUCGGGGUGCUGCGCCGGGCGGCUGCCCGCGGAACUUUCCGCCCAGCGGCACGGGCACGGGUACGGGCAGGGGCGGAGGGUACGGGGAGGGAGCGGCGGGGGCUGUGCCGGGCCCCGCGUGUGCGCGCCGCGUCCGCGCAGAGAGCCCGGGCACUGUGUGCGCUCCGCCGCCGCCUCCUCCCGGCGCCGCCUCCUCCCACCGCGCUCCCCGGCGUGUGCGAAAGGAGUGAGCGAGCUCCUCGCUAUUAAUAAUAAUAAGCCCUAUCCCCACCUUCCCCCUCUCCCAGGGAAAACAAUUAAUAAUGCAUUAAAAUAAUGUACCUUUAAAGCCACUGGCUGGCAAUAAUAAAAUAAUAAUAUUACCACCACUUAAGAGAUCGCUGCUGUGGAUGUGGUGGUGAAGCACGUUUUCCUAUCACACGCAAGUGUGAGCGCAAAUUACCCUUCUGGUAUUCAUAAGUCCCUUUCCCCUGCCAGAGCAACUAUCAUCAUCCCCAUCAAAGAGAGUCUCUCUCUAAAGCUGAGUGGAGACACUGAAUCCCCGGGUGGCUGGUGUGGCUGGACCGCAAGGAGGGCACACACACACACACACACACCCCUCCUUUCGCACCAAACCAAUCUCACCGCUUCUCCUCCUCUUCCUUAUAUCCGUGGGUUAAGCAUUGCGUUUGGCCCUUUUAGUGUUUUCCCUUCCGUUCUUCCCUUGACGAUAGUUUGUGUAUUUUAAAUAAAGAUUUCAUUCUGCCAACCCGCAGGAAGCUUUUAACAAGAUGCAGCUGAGCGUGUCGAUAUCUUAUAUCUUUUUACUGCUGCUCCGGCGUGUACAUCAACUCCAAACUCAUUUCUUUCCUUCUCCGCCUGAUACUGUAGCAUCUCAGAGACGUCGGCGGCGGCAGCAGCAGCACAGCACUGCUCCCGGGGGGCACUUUUACUUUGCCCUCAAAGUAUCUGCCAGCAAUGAGAGGCGUCUGAAUCCCCACCCCCCUUCGCUACAGCAAAAUGCUGGGGUGUUCGAUUGGGUUGUUUUGAACCAAGGUGAUUCUUCCCGCGAUACGCGUUUCCUAGCCCUUAGCUGCGCGGUUCCCGCUUGCUGGCCCCCUGCUCCUCCGCCACCGCUGAGCCGUAACCUCCUCUUCAUGCCAAGGUUCAAGCACCAGCUUAAACCCAGAGAGGCACCGCACGGGCCUAAGGCUCUGCAAACGCUCAGCGCGGCCAGAGGCCCCUGCGGCUGCCAGAAGAAAUCUCCUUCCCGGCCGUAGGGUGCUCAGCGGAGCGCUCCUCUCGCCCGCGGCAGAGCGCGCAGCCCGCGGAGCGCGAAGGACGACGUGGGGCGGCCGGGGGGCUCCGCGGCCCCGGCCGCAGCUGUCCGGGCUCGCCCCGCCGGCGCCGCACGGCAGCAGGUCAGGGGGAGCACCGUGCCUCCGCCCCGAAAAGGGGCUACGCAGGAGCUGCCCCUAGUAAACGUGACAGCGUGGUCAGCUCGCACGUAGUUUCAGCUCCGGGGUUUACCCUACUAACGAAAACAUUACCCUUAAAUACAGGCGGUGGAGAGCUCCUGAUACACCCGGCGUUGAGCAUUGCCGGUUUGUCUUUAAGAUUCGGCACAGCUAAAUUUGACCUGUUUUGAAGCAUGGAGAUUUAGUGUUCAGAAAAAUAAACUGAAAAAUACAAAGAGAAAACUUCCCUCC